rnacentral:lncRNA from 1 species
AGGCCACCAAUAUCUCACCAUUAAAGCUUUACAAGCAGUUCUAUCACCGUUGUCGUAACACAUGAAGUCUUGCUUGAAAAUGCUCCGAGCACCUGGCUAUAGAAGGAAGAAUGGAAAUUAUAAUAAGAAAAUCCUAAUUCUAAUAGAAUACUAACAAUACUCUAAUUAGACCAUAAUAAUGGUAAGCAAGCUUAAUCAAAUUCAAAAAAACCUCAAAGAAAUUUCUAACAAAUAAUAAGAAUACUUAAAGAAAUAUUAGAAGGAUCACAAUUAUCACUCAAAUAUAUCUCAAUUCAAUCUUAAUUUAAUCCUAGUUAAAAUCCCAUUGAAUUUCAUUCAAAAUUUAGGCCAAACCUAAUUAAAUCUUAAAUCCUACUAAAAUCCUAAAUCCUAAAUCAAACCCUAAAUAAAUCUUAAACCGAAUUCUAACCAAAUCCUAAACCAAACCCUAAAUCAAAUCCUAACCAAAUCCUAAACCAAAUCCUAAAUCCUAAAUCAAAUCCUAACCAAAUCCUAAUCCACAUCUUAAAUCUUAAAUCAAAUCCUAAUCCACAUCCUAAAUCCUAAAACAAAUCCUAAUCCAAAUCCUAAAUAAAAUCCUAACCAAACCCUAAUAUAAAUCCUAAACCUUAAACCAAACCCUAAAUCAUAAAUAAAAUCCUAAAUCAAAUCCUAAAUCCUAAAUAAAAUCCUAACCAAAUCCUAAAUCCUAAAUAAAAUCCUAACCAAAUCCUAAACCAAACCCUAAUCCAA